rnacentral:rRNA from 1 species
CCUACGGGAGGCAGCAGUAAGGAAUAUUGGUCAAUGGGCGCAAGCCUGAACCAGCCAUGCCGCGUGCAGGAUGACGGCCCUCUGGGUUGUAAACUGCUUUUAUACGGGAAGAACAGCAUCUACGUGUAGGUGUUUGACGGUACUGUAAGAAUAAGGACCGGCUAACUUCGUGCCAGCAGCCGCGGUAAUACGAAGGGUCCAAGCGUUAUCCGGAUUUAUUGGGUUUAAAGGGUGCGUAGGCGGCUUUUUAAGUCAGUGGUGAAAGCCUGAUGCUCAACAUCAGAACUGCCAUUGAUACUGAAGAGCUUGAGUACAGUUGAGGUUGGCGGAAUGUGUCAUGUAGCGGUGAAAUGCUUAGAUAUGACACAGAACACCGAUUGCGAAGGCAGCUAGCUAAGCUGUUACUGACGCUGAUGCACGAAAGCGUGGGGAGCAAACAGGAUUAGAUACCCUGGUAGUCCACGCCCUAAACGUUGAUAACUCGUUGCUAGCGAUAUACUGUUAGCGACCAAGCGAAAGCAUUAAGUUAUCCACCUGGGAAGUACGGUCGCAAGAUUGAAACCUUAAAGGAAUUGACCGGGNUGAGAGNGCGAGGACGACGACGAGGGAGGAGG